rnacentral:rRNA from 1 species
CAGUCGCCGCGGGAAUACGUAGGGUGCAAGCGUUAAUCGGAAUUACUGGGCGUAAAGCGUGCGUAGGCGGCUUCUUAAGUCGGAUGUGAAAUCCCUGAGUUUAACUUAGGAAUUGCAUUCGAUACUGGGAAGCUAGAGUAUGGGAGAGGAUGGUAGAAUUCCAGGUGUAGCGGUGAAAUGCGUAGAGAUCUGGAGGAAUACCGAUGGCGAAGGCAGCCAUCUGGCCUAAUACUGACGCUGAGGUACGAAAGCAUGGGGAGCAAACAGGAUUAGAGACCCCUGUAGUCCCUGUCUCUUAUAC